AAAAUGGAAGGUCCAGGUCCUCAGGCCGCCACGGUUUGUGUCAGCUCAUUGCUGCACCGGAAGCUCGGAAUGUGCUCAUUGGGUCAAGGACUUGAGACUUCCCGUAGUGGCUUUGUGUCGUCACAGCCCAUUUUCUCAGUCUGUGUCAGAGGCCUAGAGGCUCUCACUAUGGCAUGGACUCUCAUCCUCGAGCCCCACUACUCAGAGGAGCUGGGAAGAAUUUCCACCCUUCCUAGUGGCAAGUCUCACUGUGAGAGCAGAGUGCCACCAGGCAAACAGGGCAGAGAGACUGCUUUAAGGAGAAUCCUUAUAUUGGGGGUUAUGAAGUGCAGUACACCCUCAUCCUCACGCUAACACUGGUACCAUGUAGCCCAGGCUUGUCUAACCUGCAGCCCGCGGACUGUGUAUGGCCCAGAACAGCUUUGAAUGUGGCCCAAUGCAAAUUUGUGAACUUUCUAAGACAUUCUGAGAUUUUUUUUUUUUUCUCAUCAGCUAUCAUUAGUGUGAGUGUAUGUUAUUUGUGACUCAAGACAAUUCUUCUUUUCCAAUGUGGCCCAGAGAAGCCAAAAGACUGGACAGCCCUGAUGUGGCCCUUUCAUCCAUGGUAGCCUAUUUUGUCCUAAAGACGGUCUUGUGCAGUGAGUAGGCCAGGCCUCCCCACUACCACAGUUUACAGGCAAGGAAUGUGAUAUUUCACAGGAUGACCCUGACUGGCACCUACAUUGCUAGCCAAAGAAUGGCACAAAGAUGUGGACAGAAGAGACAACCUUAAGCAGCUGACUGCUGGCUCCUGCAACAGUAUCAUCAUGGCAUUUGUCCUGGGGUCCCAAGGAAAGAAAACAAAUCUGCGGCUGAGGAACAGGCUGAGUUGACAAAGCAGCUUCCACAGUAACACAAGGACAAAGGGUGUAUGUAGAUAUGCACGUGGUAGCAGGUUCUACUAAAGGAACCUGGACCGACCAUUCUCACUCACAUUCUUUGGGAGCUGUAUUCUAAUACUUUCAGAAAAGCCAUGGGAACACACCAGAGUGACUGCUCGAGUAAAUAAGUAGCAUAAACAGCAAGCCAAACCAUUGAUGUACACAUCACUAGGCCCAAUACUAUGAAAUCCCACAUAAGAAACUUGAAAGUGAAAGCUGGAAUUCUGAGGAUACUGGUUUUGCUUAAUAAACAGCAUUUCAACAGUUAUUGUCAUGAUAUUGCUACUGAUGCUGAACAAAGACCCAAGAACCAGGGUGAUGUUUAGCAUGGGCUGGCCUCAGCAGGACUGAAAGGACAUCAAUAAAGGAGAAGAGAGAGAAGGAAGGAGGACAAGUGCCAACUUUGAGCAGGUAUCAGGUGUAUGUGGGGGCAAACCAUUUCUCCGUCCACCCUGAUGAUGAGUCCCCGUUUCCCUUUUUAAGGCCUGAUUUUUGCACCCUCACCCCACCUAAGGCAGC